GCUGGGCGUGGUGAUGCGUGCCUGUAAUCCCAGCUACUCUGGAGGCUGAGGCAGGAGAAUCGUUUGAACCAGGGAGUUGGAGGUUGCAGUGAGCCGAGAUUGCACCACUGCACUCCACCCUGGCGACAGAGUGAGACUCUGUCUCAA
ensembl:misc_RNA Metazoa_SRP Metazoan signal recognition particle RNA